rnacentral:rRNA from 1 species
UACGUAGGGUGCAAGCGUUGUCCGGAAUUAUUGGGCGUAAAGAGCUCGUAGGCGGUUUGUCGCGUCUGCUGUGAAAUCCCGAGGCUCAACCUCGGGCCUGCAGUGGGUACGGGCAGACUAGAGUGCGGUAGGGGAGAGUGGAAUUCCUGGUGUAGCGGUGGAAUGCGCGAGAUAAUCAGGAGGAACACCAAUGGCGAAGGCAGAUCUCUGGGCCGU